rnacentral:pre_miRNA from 1 species
AGCCUUCUAAAUCAGUGCAGGGGUUUCAUCAGAUACCAUCCCAUCAAAAUUGAUGGAACUCUCAAGAUAAGUGACGCA